AUGGCCCCUCCCUACGAUGCUCCUGGGAAAUCUUUUCCAGCCUCAGGGAUUCUGGGAUUUUGGGAACAUCUCCCAGCAACUGCUGAGCCCCAGGAUGGGCUCUGGGGAUGUGGCUUGGGUUCAGAUGCUGCACCCAAAUCCCGGGAUCUGUCCCUUCCCCACAGAUCCAGCGGCCACUCCACAGGAAUUCCUAGAGCUCUCCCGAGCAUCCACCAGCCCCAGCCCUUUCCAAGGGAUCCAUGGAAGCAUCUCCAGCUCCCUUUCCCUGGAUCCCCUUUUCCUGCUCCCCCUUUCCCUGGAUCCCCUUUUCCUGCUCCCUUUUCCCUGCUCCCCCCUUCGUGCACUCCCGGUUCAAUCCCAUUCCCAGAUUCCCAAGGGAUGGGAACAGAACUGGUCCUUCCACUCCCCCUCCCCACCUGCCCUAAACUUCCCUGGACAUUUUCCCAGGCCCUGCACUUAGUGGGAAGAAUUCCAGUGUGGAAAAGGGAGAUGGGAAACGCCAGGAAUCUGCUGAUUUGGGUUGAAACUCCCCCAAAAGUCAAUUUUUCCAAGAUUCUGGAUGCAACAGGAAGCUCCUUCCCUUCCCUUCUCUUCCCUCCCUCCGUGAAUUUGGGGACAGCACAGGGACCCCCCAAAGAUCCCGGCCUGCCCCACUCCUGGGGCUCCCUAAAAUUCCUCCUGGGAUCUCUCCCAGCUGGGAAUUCCCCCACAGGGCCAUCCCUGGAUCCGAGCGGAGCCGUGGGAUGUAGGGAAAAGCCUCCCCAGCCUCCCUUUGGCCAUUCCCAACAGGGAUUUUUUCAGCUGGAUUUGGGGAUUUUGGGGGGUUUUUUUGGGUCGUUUUUUUUUGUACUGAUUUUCUACAAAAAUGGCUCCCACCUCAUCCCUUCUCCAGAGGAAAUUCCUGCUGAUCAGGCUCUGGUUGGAUCCAGGUCCAGUUCUCACAUCCCACUGGGAAUGACCCCCCCCCUCCACCUCUUCCUCCACCACCCCUUUCCCAAAUCCAAAUAUCCCAAUAAAAAAAAAUCCCUCCCUCCUUUCCUCCCUCAACCCUGGGUAAAUUUUAAAAUCCCAAUUCCAAUUUUUAAUCCCAGGAAGCAGCCACCCCUUCCCUAA
rnacentral:lncRNA from 1 species